GACGAACGCUGGCGGCGUGCUUAACACAUGCAAGUCGAACGGAAAGGCCCUGCUUUUGUGGGGUGCUCGAGUGGCGAACGGGUGAGUAACACGUGAGUAACCUGCCCUUGACUUUGGGAUAACUUCAGGAAACUGGGGCUAAUACCGGAUAGGAGCUCCUGCUGCAUGGUGGGGGUUGGAAAGUUUCGGCGGUUGGGGAUGGACUCGCGGCUUAUCAGCUUGUUGGUGGGGUAGUGGCUUACCAAGGCUUUGACGGGUAGCCGGCCUGAGAGGGUGACCGGCCACAUGGGGACUGGGAUACGGCCCAGACUCCUCCGGGAGGCAGCAGUGGGGAAUAUUGCACAAGGGGCGGAGGCCUGAUGCAGCAACGCCGCGUGCGGGAUGACGGCCUUCGGGUUGUAAACCGCUUUCGCCUGUGACGAAGCGUGAGUGACGGUAAUGGGUAAAGAAGCACCGGCUAACUACGU
rnacentral:rRNA from 1 species